UUCGCGGACAUCCAGUCCCCAGCUGCCGGUCUG
rnacentral:sRNA from 1 species